UAUUUCCAAAUUAAAAGGCUCCCAGUAAACUACAAAAUGUGGAUACACCAGCACAAGGUAAUAGAAUGGCUACAUUUAAUUAUAAUGUUUACAUUUAUCAAAUGUUAACUUUUUCAGCAUACACACAAAUGCAAUAAGAAAUGAAUGUAACAUCAGGUGUGUGAGCAUCAAGUCCCUCCCCUCAAAAGAUCAGCCUGGCACUAGUAAUUUUGUUUUCCAGGUGUUUCUGCAGUUCUAGAAAUGGAAAUCACCAGUGGGAGGUUGGCAGGAAGCCCUCUCAUUCGUCACCCCAAGUGGUGGGCCUGGUGCCCUCCAUCGGCCUGCCCUGACAGCCACCUCCCAGUGCCCAGAGGGGAAACCAGUCUUGCUUGGGCUAGUGGCUGAGUGUUGCAAGCCCACGACGGACUGCCCACGCCAUGAAUGAUGCAAGUGGUUGGUGGUCCUUUCUCUUGCUAUUAUCUUUAAGGGUGCUGGCCAAUGUUUGGAGGACGGGGAGAGCCCAGAGGAAGUCUUGAGGAGAAUAACAAAGAUGUCUACAGGGAUAGAAAAUAGAGAAAUAAUUACAGACUUGAACACUCUCCAGAGAGCCAAAGAAGAGCAAACAGAGACCCUGGUUGUCAUGUCUUGAAGAUUGUAAUAUUUUGAAGGCAGGAGCUAGACUUACUUGAAUCAACACUGGAACCCCAACACAGAGCACUGGAUAUACUUCCCAGGGGUGGACACUGAGGCUGAGUCUAUCAAACAUGCUGUGAAGGAGUGUCCUUGCACCAGUACCACUGGAAAGGAGAGAACAGAUGCAGGAGUGGACAAAGGGAGAACCACACAGCCUCAGCCAACCCAACAGGGCGCUCCAGGCCUAGACCUGCCCUUCAAGGUUGUCCUGGGGCCUGGAUGCUGGACCUCCAUCCAUCCAAGGAUGUGGGCCAACCUGGAAAGGGCCUAUGGGACUUGGCCCAGGCAGCUCUCUUCAGCUGAGGCAGUUGCCGUCACAGCAUCCAUCACACUUGUGAAGAGUCUCUGCGUGUCAGCAUACCUGCAUUUCAUCUGAGAGAGAGACCAGGAGACUCUGCUCCCAUUGACUAAUGUUGGGAUCACAGUGGUUCCUUGGUGCUUGAAAUAAGUGGGUAAGUGGGUUUUUAUAAUCCUCUGAGAUCCUUGGGGAAAGUGUCCAGACUGAGACAUGUGAGAAUCUUGGUAGACUGUUGGGAAUUUCCUGCCCCCUUGAAUCAGUAUAUUUGUUCAAUCAAGAUUCAACUUUAAUUUGGAGGAGAAGCUGAAAACUGGAAUAGUGAGUAGAAGAAUAGAGAAGGAGGACUGCUGGUAGAAACCUCAAAAUAGGGAGAAUAUUGAGAUACUGACUACCCUAAAAUGACAAUUAUUCACUACUGAAAUCAUGGCCCUUAUGGAUCAGAGUCACAUCUUCAGGAUCAUUUUACAGGAUUCCUUUAACUGCACAUUCUACUUUCCUGAGAAGAGUUUUUAAAUUGCAUGUUGUCCUCCAUCUCCUUAAGUUUUCAGUGACACACCAGCACCCAGUGAUGUUUUAGCAUACCUUUGCUUAUGUGUUGGUGCUCCAUGCAGCUACCUGGCAGGCCCACUCCCUAACCUUCCUCUUAGUGCUUUGAGCUCAGCAGGGAUUGGAUCAGAAUUUGUUGAAAGUUCAGUGUCCCCUUCUUUGAGACUCUAGGGAGAUGGGUAUGAAAUAUGAUAACUUAUUUUCACUAAAGAGCAUUAAGCCCAGGAGAAACCUUUCUUGGCCUGCCUCAAAGGCUGGGGUGAGUGUCUGUAUGUUAUGAGUAGGGAGACUGAGACAUGGGAUUCUGAAAAGGAAACUUCAGUGAAUGAAAUCAUAGGAAAGAAUCUGGGUGACUCCAUCAAGUCCCAAACAGCUGCCAACUUCUCAAGGUUAACACGCUGAGAAGGGCUAGAACCACUUGGCUUUCUGUUUCUUUCCCAGGGAUAUGGAUCUUGGAGUCUGUGAAAAUAGCUGGUGAGCAGAGCAGAGCAGAGCAGAGC
ensembl:lncRNA